rnacentral:rRNA from 1 species
GGUGAGUAACACGUGGGUGAUCUGCCCUGCACUUUGGGAUAAGCCUGGGAAACUGGGUCUAAUACCGAAUAUGAUCAUCGGCUUCAUGGUCGGUGGUGGAAAGCUUUUGCGGUGUGGGAUGGGCCCGCGGCCUAUCAGCUUGUUGGUGGGGUAAUGGCCUACCAAGGCGACGACGGGUAGCCGGCCUGAGAGGGUGACCGGCCACACUGGGACUGAGAUACGGCCCAGACUCCUACGGGAGGCAGCAGUGGGGAAUAUUGCACAAUGGGCGCAAGCCUGAUGCAGCGACGCCGCGUGAGGGAUGACGGCCUUCGGGUUGUAAACCUCUUUCAGCACAGACGAAGCGCAAGUGACGGUAUGUGCAGAAGAAGGACCGGCCAACUACGUGCCAGCAGCCGCGGUAAUACGUAGGGUCCGAGCGUUGUCCGGAAUUACUGGGCGUAAAGAGCUCGUAGGUGGUUUGUCGCGUUGUUCGUGAAAACUCACAGCUUAACUGUGGGCGUGCGGGCGAUACGGGCAGACUAGAGUACUGCAGGGGAGACUGGAAUUCCUGGUGUAGCGGUGGAAUGCGCAGAUAUCAGGAGGAACACCGGUGGCGAAGGCGGGUCUCUGGGCAGUAACUGACGCUGAGGAGCGAAAGCGUGGGGAGCGAACAGGAUUAGAUACCCUGGUAGUCCACGCCGUAAACGGUGGGUACUAGGUGUGGGUUUCCUUCCUUGGGAUCCGUGCCGUAGCUAACGCAUUAAGUACCCCGCCUGGGGAGUACGGCCGCAAGGCUAAAACUCAAAGGAAUUGACGGGGGCCCGCACAAGCGGCGGAGCAUGUGGAUUAAUUCGAUGCAACGCGAAGAACCUUACCUGGGUUUGACAUGCACAGGACGCUGGUAGAGAUAUCAGUUCCCUUGUGGCCUGUGUGCAGGUGGUGCAUGGCUGUCGUCAGCUCGUGUCGUGAGAUGUUGGGUUAAGUCCCGCAACGAGCGCAACCCUUGUCCUAUGUUGCCAGCGGGUUAUGCCGGGGACUCGUAGGAGACUGCCGGGGUCAACUCGGAGGAAGGUGGGGAUGACGUCAAGUCAUCAUGCCCCUUAUGUCCAGGGCUUCACACAUGCUACAAUGGCCGGUACAAAGGGCUGCGAUGCCGUGAGGUGGAGCGAAUCCUUUCAAA